UAAGGAAGAAAGCACAUUAUUCCAGAAGUGCUCAGUGUUACAAGGAAAUGGUCUGAGUUAAUCAUGGAGCAGAUCUGCAAAUGUCAAGUCUUGGCCAGCAAUAGCUGCAGUGGAGGCAAAAGCCCUUUCCUGUUGCACAAGGGAGCACACACAGGGGGAGAGGCUGGUGCUGGUGUGGCCCUGGCAC